UACGUAGGGUGCAAGCGUUGUCCGGAAUUAUUGGGCGUAAAGGGCUCGUAGGCGGUUUGUCGCGUCGGGAGUGAAAACUCAGGGCUUAACCCUGAGCCUGCUUCCGAUACGGGCAGACUAGAGGUAUGCAGGGGAGAAUGGAAUUCCUGGUGUAGAGGUGAAAUUCGUAGAUAUCAGGAGGAACACCAGUGGCGAAGGCGGCUUCCUGGACACCAACUGACGCUGAGACGCGAAAGCGUGGGGAGCAAACAGG
rnacentral:rRNA from 1 species